UACGUAGGGAGCAAGCGUUGUCCGGAAUCAUUGGGCGUAAAGCGCGCGUAGGCGGCCCGAUAAGUCCGUUGUGAAAGUCAAAGGCUCAACCUUUGAAUGCCGAUGGAUACUGUCGGGCUAGAGUCCGGAAGAGGCGAGUGGAAUUCCUGGUGUAGCGGUGAAAUGCGCAGAUAUCAGGAAGAACACCUAUGGCGAAGGCAGCUCUCUGGGACGGUACUGACGCUGAGACGCGAAAGCGUGGGGAGCGAACAGG
rnacentral:rRNA from 1 species